rnacentral:rRNA from 1 species
UUUAACUGGAGGAAGGUGGGGAUGACGUCAAGUCAUCAUGGCCCCUACGGCCUGGGCUACACACGUGGUACAAUGGUCGGUACAGAGGGUUGCCAAGCCGCGAGGUGGAGCUAAUCCCAUAAAACCGAUCGUAGUUCGGAUCGCAGUCUGCAACUCGACUGCGUGAAGUCGGAAUCGAUAGUAAUCGCGAAUCAGAACGUCGCGGUGAAUACGUUCCCGGGCCUUGUACACACCGCCCGUCACACCAUGGGAGUGGGUUGCACCAGAAGUAGGUAGUGUAACCUUCGGGAGGACGGCUACCACGGUGUGAUCAUGACUGGGGUGAAGUCGAGCU